GAAAGUAACGUUAGGCUAUUCUGAAUAGGACAUGUACUUUUGUGUAGUUCCUGUCCCUAGAAGUGAGGAUGGAUAUAAUAGCAACAUAAUAUUCAGUGUGGUGUAAUUUGACUACAAUGAAGUUUGUUUCUUGUGAGGUUUUCUGUCCUCAGAUAAAGAGAGCUAUGAAAGCCUGUCUACAUAUGACGAGGUCCCAAAUGAAGAGCAGUGGUUCUCAGUCCUGGGGACUCAAAGCGGUGCACAUUUUUGUUUUUGCCUUAGAACUGCACUGCUGAUUCAAAUGCUCAACUCAUCAUCAAGCUUCAAAUGAUACCUUGUAACUGGAGAUUCCUUCAAAACGAUUGCCUACAGUUAAUGUGUAGGGCACAGCAAGGUUGGGUGACUAGGGCCAUCUGGGACUGCCUGCUGGAGGAAUUCAGGUGUGUGAAGGAGCAAUUCAGGUGUGUGAAGGCUACCUGUGUCCUGCAUAACUUCAUGAGGAUAGACACAAGGACCAGGAGGGGAUCUGCAGCACCCCGCCGUGUGCCAGAGGAAAAGUCUGCUACUCUGCAGGAUGUUUUAAAGAUGGGGUCCAACAAUGCAGCAAGAGAGGCAAUCUGUGUGCGGGAGAUCUUCACCUCCUACUUCUUUGGAAGAGGGUGCUGUUCCCUGGCAACACCAUAGACUACACUAUGCACAACCAAAGGCUCUUUUAAGAGCCAUUCACAUUGCAAUAAGAGUAUUCUUCCAUUUACUUAGCUAUGUCAACUGCAGUUAUUCCAUUCCCAGUUUCCCUUUGAUUCCUACUUCUCAGGUGAGGGUGCUGUUUAGGUAAGGGUGUGAUGUUUGUACAAAAACAAAACAGGCUAUUUUAAAUCACCCAUAUUGAAAAAAUGUAGAACAAUUAGACACCCUAUAACCCACACCUACACACUCAUGUAUCAAUCUGAUUGAUGGAUUGUGUUGUGCAGUAAGCAGGCUCAGGUGUAUAACUGUGGCGCCUUCCACCUUCAAAGAAUAGGCAAGAGUGCCAACUAUGGAGAAUAAUAAGACACUUAAUUAUUUCUAUAACUAGAUAGCCAGCUAGCUAGCUGCUAGGAGGAUGUCAUGUCAUGUCAUUGGAGGAGUGGGUGAGUGACUGACUUUUUCCCAUCAUAUCAUUUUCGGUGGCUACACACAGCUAGAGAUGCACGUGUCAUUUGUUUAGCUAACAAGAACUUGAUUGACUGUUAUACAGUUAGCAUAUCUCUUGCGUUUGCAAAUUCACUCUAGCUAUCUAAGUUACUUUGAUUUCAGAGCAGUCUCUUUUGAGUGUGCCAGAGCACAGAACAACUGAUGCAUUUACGAACGCAACACCUACUGAAUAUGGCCGGUGUCAGUACACGUAGGCAAAACAAGUAAUAGUUUUUUAUUUAUUUAACCUUUACUUAAACAGGUCAAACCCAUUGAGUCUAAAAACCUAUUUGUGAGGGCGACCUUGCAAGAAGGCAAAACAGGGAAAUAGCAGCGUGUCCAUAAAACACAGAAAAAUACGGAAUACACACAAAAGACAAAGUGUCACAAGUUAAAGAUACAAUUGAAGAUUAGAAACAACUGCAGUCUUCACAAACAGUGUUGUCGAUCAGAGUCUUAAAAACAGACAAGGGCACUAAACUCCCUUAACUUUAAAAUCUUCUGAAGCAUGUUCCAAGAUGACGGCAUUAUGGGAAAAAUAUGUUUUCCCCAUUUCAGUUCUAGCCUUAGGAACAGACAAGGACAGCAGCGAUUGUGAAUGAAGACUAUAUUGAGUGACUGAUCUGGUCAGUAAAGAACAGCGAUACAAAUGCUUUGUACACAAAAGUGUACCAGUGCUUUAGCCUCCUGGUGGAGAGAGAGUUCCAUUGCACCAUAGCAUACAAAUCACAGUGAUGGGUAAGUGAUUUAGCGGUUGAAAUACAUUUUAGAGCACCAUGAUACACUGUGUCCAGAGUUUAAGGUACUUGCUGAGGCAUAUAGACAAUAUCACCAUAAUCCAGCACUGAUAUAAAAAAAGUGCUUUGAACAAUAACUUUUCUGACUAACUUUGAAAAGCAAGAUUUGUUCCUGAAAUAGAAACACAAUUUCAA